rnacentral:rRNA from 1 species
UACAGAGGCCUCGAGCGUUGUUCGGAAUUACUGGGCGUAAAGGGAGUGUAGGUUGUGAUGUAAGUCAGAUGUGAAAGCCCUGGGCUUAACCCGGGAAGUGCAUUUGAUACUGCAUUGCUAGAGUGCGAGAGAGGAAUUCGGAAUUCCAGGUGUAGGGGUGAAAUCCGUAGAUAUCUGGAGGAAUACCGAUGGCGUAGGCAGGGUUCUGGCUCGUAACUGACACUGAGACUCGAAAGCGUGGGUAGCAAACAGGAUUAGAA